ACGCAUCAAAUGUUAAUCUGGAUCUUUAAGGAGCACAUUCCCGCUUGGUUAAUUUUACUCAAUUUGACAGCAAUUUAUUUUCUUGCGUUAUUUCUUCUGGUAAACAAAGCUGCCUGAGUCAGCGGUGGCUGCGUAAAUAUUUUUAUUUCGAACAACUUGUGCGCUUUGUUUUGCAAAUGACUCGGUGCUCUGUUUACUUUGAGAGUGUCGUGAGCUGAUCCAUAUGGCAUAUGGUGUUGUGUCGCUAUGCUGUAAUAUACUCCGAACAAAUUAAAAGAUGCAGUAGCAUCGAAAAUAUUAUACUUACAGUGGUUCUCAAACGCAAAUUGAUUUAAAAGGAGUGUUAACUUGGCAGGUUGAAGACAAUGACCCCAUACCUCCGAAUACUUAAACAAGAAGGCAAUUGGGUGGGUGAGCUGUAGGCUGUAAAUUUCGAAGAGAAGAGAUUACACGUAUUUAGCAAGUCUAAGCGACGGAACAGUAAGAACAGCCUUGGUUAUCUCGCGAGGAAUGCGUGAGAGCGGAGUCGGGUGCAUUAAGCUAUCACGCCAUCAACGCCGGUCUGGUCAGCAUUCUUCGGGUCCGGUGUCCGGCCCAGGAAUGUCUGCAGCCACCAACCCGAGACGGAAGGAGCAGCGGCGGAAGCGGUUCAUGGAACCGACUAAAAUGUUCCAGUACGCCUCUAGAACCAUCCGUUUACCGCUCAAACCCAACCGUGUGUUGGAGAUACGGCUAGAGUGGUGGAGAAUGUUCCGUGCUACAGCGCGUAGCCGACGCGCUCUACUGUGCCGUGGUUCCUGCCCUGUAUGGAAGACGAUUGUUGAUUAAACAAGCGGGCCCCGCAUACAACGUCCUCUCAAUUGUAAAUGUUAUUGGAAAUCAAUUGACACCGAGUAAAUUGACUCAACGACUUCGUUGAAUGAUGCACACGGACGAAUACAUCAUCAUAACCUCAACUGUUCGUAUGGUGUUUAUUUAUUCGAUCAAUACACUGGCUGGAACGGAGAGACGUUUCCAGAUAAAUAGGUACCUACUUGCAUAAGUACGUACGGUCACGAGUACUAAUAUGUAUGCACUUUGAAACCAUGUCACAUUAACUUAUUUGACAAAUGAAACCGUAAGUCUCAUUAAAUGACAAAUAUGAUAGUGCGACAGGGUUCUAAAU